CCCAGUAAUCAGCACAAGUUAGAAUGUGGGCAACUCAGCAGUCGUUGCGCAGGCACUUUGGUGACUCUAGAUAACCUAGGACCAAUCGCACGUCCCCGUGACGGCAACGACUGAUUCGGAUGUCUGCCCUAUCAACUUUCAAUGGUACUUUCUGCGCCUACCAUGGUGACCACGGGGAAUCAGGGUUCGAUUAUGGAGAGGGAGCCUGAGAAAUGGUUACCACAUCCAAGGAAGCCAGCAGAUGCCCAAAUUACCCACUCCCGACGCGGGGAGGUAGUGACG